AAGCAUCAUAAUACAAGCCAGGGGCCUCGAGGGCUCGAAUACAAUUACUCGAUCAUAGACGAGUCAGUGGAAGCAACAAUAUCUGAGUACAGACAUAAGUUAAAAAAGUUUGCCUUAAGAAGGCUAGCACAAAAGUAGCAACGAUCGAAAAGGCAAGGCCUCCUGCCUGGGACCUCCUAACUACUCCUCGAAGCCGAACUCCAUGUAGAAUCAUCCUCGGGAUCUCUAGCUCCUGGACUCCAGCAUCUGGUUGCGACAAUCCGGUAUAGAAAGGGGAAAAGAGGGAGAAAAGCAACCGUGAGUACUCAUCCAAAGUACUCGCAAGCAAGGAGCUACACUACAUAUGCAUGGGUAUAUGUGUAAAGGACCAUAUCAGUGGACUGAACUGCAGAAUGCCAGAAUAAGAGGGGGAUAGCUAGUCCUGUCGAAGACUACGCUUCUGGCAGCCUCCAUCUUGCAGCAUGUAGAAGAGAGUAGAUUGAAGUCCUCCAAGUAGCAUCGUAUAGCAUAAUCCUACCCGGCGAUCCCCUCCUCGUCGCCCUGUUAGAGAGCGAUCACCGGGUUAUAUCUGGCACUUGGAAGGGUGUAUUUUAUUCAGUAUCCGGUUCUAGUUGUCAUAAGGUCAAGGUACAACUCUGGGUCGUCCUUUUACCGAGGGACACGGCUAUUCGAAUAGAUAAACUUCCCUGCAGGGGUGCACCACAUAACCCAACACGCUCGAUCCCAUUUGGCCGGACACACUUUUCUGGGUCAUGUCCGGCCUCGUAAGAUCAACACGUCGCAGCCCCACCUAGGCUCAACAGAGAGGUCAGCACGCCGGUCUAAACCUAUGCGCGCAGGGGUCUGGGCCCAUCGCCCUAUGCACACCUGCACGUUGCGUACGCGGCCGGAAGCAGACCUAGCCCCCUUAAUACAAGCGCGAGCUUACGGUCCAAUGCGGCGCGCGCCACUCAGUCGCUGACGUCAAAAGAGCUUCGGCUGAUACCACGAUGUCGGGAUACCCAUAACUACUCCCGCGUAGAUGGUUAGUGCGUAUAGACCAAAUGGCCAGACUUAGAUCAAAUACCAAGAUCUCGUUAAGCGUGUUAAGUAUCUGCGAACGACGACCAGGGCCAGGCCCACCUCUCUCCUAGGUGGUCUCAACCUGCCCUGUCGCUUCGCCAUAAAGUAACAGUCGGGGGCCGUCGGGAACCUAGGCCCACCUCUACCGGGGUGGAGCCACCUGUCCUUUCAGCCCCCUCAUCAGGAUCACUUGCGGGUACUCCUCGAGCCGACCCGACUUUAGUCACCACAUGUGUCAUGUAUAUAAUGUAUAUAGUAUAUACCCGUGAUCACCUCCCGAAGUGAUCACGGCCCAGUAGUAUAGCAUGGCAGACGGACAAGAGUGUAGGGCCACUGAUGGAACACUAGCAUCCUAUACUAAGUAGUAGGAUAGCAGGUAAGGGUAACAACUGUAGCAACAACGAUAGGCUAUGCAUCAGAAUAGGAUUAACCGAAAGCAGUAAUAUGCUACACUACUCUAAUGCAAGCAGUAUAGAGAAGAAUAGGCGAUAUCUGGUGAUCAAGGGGGGGCUUGCCUGGUUGCUCUGGCAAGUAGGAGGGGUCGUCAACACCGUAGUCGAACUGGGGGUCGCCGACAGUCUCAGGGUCUACCGGAAAGAAGUAAAGGAGGGGGAACACCAUAAAUAAUAGAGCAAUCAAAAGUAACACAAAGCAAGACGCGGCGAUACGUUGUGCUAGGGGUGACCUAGCAUAGGGAUAGGUGAUACCGGCGGAAGGGGAAACAUCCGGGAAAGUAUCCCCGGUGUUUCGCGUUUUCGGACAGAUGAACCGGAGGUGAAAUGUUACAGGUUUGCUAUGCUACGGAUGUGUGGCGGACGAACGGGCUGCGUAUCCGGAUUCGUCUCGUCGUUCUGAGCAACUUUCAUGUAGAAAGUAUUUUCAUCUGAGCUACGGUUUAUUUUAUAUGAUUUUCUAAAAUUUUAAAUCAUUUUAAAAUUUAUUUAAUUUAUUUAAUUCAACAUUAUCCAGAAUAGUGCCUGCUGACGAGUCAACAGGGCGUUGACUGGGUCAAACUGACGUGCGGGACCCACUUGUCAUUGACUGAUUAAUUAAUUAACUAACAGUUUAAUUAGUUUAGUUAUUAGAUUAGUUUAAUUAAUCAAAAAUUAAUUAGGUUAAUCAAUUCUUUAAUUAAUUAAUUAUUUUUAAUAUAUUUUAUUAUUAUUAUUUUCUUUUCGUUCUUUUUUUCUGUUUUACAGGGGCUGUCCCACAUGUCAUAGGGUACAACUAAAACUAAGUCUAAUAUAAAUUAGUCUAACAAAAGGGCUUGUUUAACUAGGGAUUAGCCCGUAAGCUAGCAAAGGGCCGGCCACACACGGUUGUGGCAAAAGCCAGCCACACAUACGCUGCACACACACCACACAACACACUUGGCCAUGGCCGGUAGCAGCAGCAGCCGGUGGUAGUGGGCAGCAGCAGUACCAGCAACAGAGCAGCGUAGCAGCGGCCUAAGCACAAAGCAGCAGUAACAACAACUAGCAGAUACAGCAGUAAUAAACAGCAGCAGAGAGCAGCGGCACAAGCAGUUAAGCGCAGCAGGCUGCGGCGAAAAGUAGCAGUUGCGGGCGCAACGCACGACGACGGGAGCGGCGGGGUGCGGCCAGGGGACGGCCGGUGCGCGGCCUGUCGUGGCCAGGGAGCGCGUACUGGGCGUCGUGGCACGAGGCGCGGGGGCGGACCGCGGCCAACGGCCGGAGCUUGGGCGACACGGGCAUGGCCGAGCGCGAGGCUGCGGCGCAGCCGAUGCCGAGGAGCAGCAGCAGGGCAAGCACGCAGAGCAGGGGGCGCGACCCCGUGCAGAUGCGCACGCGCGAGGGCGCAGACUGGGGCGGACAGGGACGCGGGGGAAGGCACGGCCACGACGAGCUCGUAGCCAUGACGGAUGACGGUUGGUGAGCGCGAGAUCGACGGCAGUGGGUUACGACGGCCUACGGAAUGGAUUCGAGAGGGGGAGGAGGGGAAUCGAACAGGAGCUCACUGCCAUUGCAGGGACGGCCCGAGGACGACUCGAGGUGGCCGGACGCAUCGCGCUCAUCGACGAGAUGCGGCUGCCGUGGAGGAGAAGACCGCGUGAUGGCGAGGUAGUAGGCCGUCCGAGCUCUAACCGAUAGGCGAGGGCGACGGAGACGACGAUGGCGGAGUUCCUCGACGUCUUGGCGCGACGAAUGGAGGCCAGUGGCCGCGGGAUCGACGAUGAUGACGACGACCGCGAGCUCAGCCUCUUCCAGUUCAUCGGAUAUGAGCGAGGGAGAGAGGGAUUUGUGGACUAGGGUUACCAGGGAGGGAGAGGGGGGCUCGGGGCGUCAAGUAGGCGCCGGGGUAAGCCGCGGGAUGUCCAACACGCAUCCACAGC
rnacentral:lncRNA from 1 species